UAGCAAUCUAUUUCUACUCUGAACAUGCUUGAUCGCAUCUGAUCUCCAAAGCUAAGCAGGAUCAGGCCUGGUUAGUAUUUGGAUGGGAGAAAUCUACUUCUAGAGGCUGGAAAGUGCAAG
rnacentral:rRNA from 1 species